rnacentral:rRNA from 1 species
GAUGAACGCUGGCGGCGUGCCUAAUACAUGCAAGUCGAGCGAACAGAUAAGGAGCUUGCUCCUUUGACGUUAGCGGCGGACGGGUGAGUAACACGUGGAUAACCUACCUAUAAGACUGGGAUAACUCCGGGAAACCGGAGCUAAUGCCGGAUAACAUUUAGAACCGCAUGGUUCUAAAGUGAAAGAUGGUUUUGCUGUCACUUAUAGAUGGACCCGCGCCGUAUUAGCUAGUUGGUAAGGUAACGGCUUACCAAGGCAACGAUACGUAGCCGACCUGAGAGGGUGAUCGGCCACACUGGAACUGAGACACGGUCCAGACUCCUACGGGAGGCAGCAGUAGGGAAUCUUCCGCAAUGGGCGAAAGCCUGACGGAGCAACGCCGCGUGAGUGAUGAAGGUCUUCGGAUCGUAAAACUCUGUUAUUAGGGAAGAACAAAUGUGUAAGUAACUGUGCACGUCUUGACGGUACCUAAUCAGAAAGCCACGGCUAACUACGUG